GUGCCAGCCGCCGCGGUAAUACCGGCAGCCCAAGUGAUGGCCGCUGUUAUUGGGCCUAAAGCGUCCGUAGCUGGCCGCACGAGUCCGUCGGGAAAUCCGCCCGCUCAACGGGCGGCCGUCCGGCGGAACCUGUGUGGCUUGGGACCGGGAGGCCUGAGGGGUACGAUCGGGGUAGGAGUGAAAUCCUGUAAUCCCGCUCGGACCGCCGAUGGGGAAACCACCGCAGGAGAACGGAUCCGACAGUGAGGGACGAAAGCCAGGGUCUCGAACCGGAUUAGAAACCCGUGUGUCC
rnacentral:rRNA from 1 species